rnacentral:misc_RNA from 1 species
GAUGAAGAACGCAGCGAAAUGCGAUACGUAAUGUGAAUUGCAGAAUUCAGUGAAUCAUCGAGUCUUUGAACGCACAUUGCGCCCCCUGGUAUUCCGGGGGGCAUGCCUGUCCGAGCGUCAUUGCUGCCCUCAAGCCCGGCUUGUGUGUUGGGUCUCGUCCCCCUUCCCGGGGGGACGGGCCCGAAAGGCAGCGGCGGCACGGUGUCCGGUCCUCGAGCGUAUGGGGCUUUGUCACCCGCUCUGUAGGCCCGGCCGGCGCUUGCCGAUCAACCAAAACUUUUUUCCAGGUUGACCUCGGAUCAGGUAGGGAUACCCGCUGAACUUAAGCAUAUCAAUAAGCGGAGGA